GAAGGUGGCUCAGUGGUAGAGCUCUUGCCUUGCAUGCAUGAGGCCCUGGGUUUGAUUCCUCAGUACCAUCU
rfam:Dipodomys ordii contig_12409, whole genome shotgun sequence.